AACGAACGCUGGCGGCAGGCCUAACACAUGCAAGUCGAGCGAAGCCUUCGGGCUUAGCGGCGGACGGGUGAGUAACGCGUGGGAACGUGCCCUUUGGUACGGAAUAGCCCCGGGAAACUGGGAGUAAUACCGUAUGUGGUCGAGAGACGAAAGAUUUAUCGCCAAAGGAUCGGCCCGCGUUGGAUUAGGUAGUUGGUGGGGUAAUGGCCUACCAAGCCGACGAUCCAUAGCUGGUUUGAGAGGAUGAUCAGCCACACUGGGACUGAGACACGGCCCAGACUCCUACGGGAGGCAGCAGUGGGGAAUCUUAGACAAUGGGGGAAACCCUGAUCUAGCCAUGCCGCGUGAUCGAUGAAGGCCUUAGGGUUGUAAAGAUCUUUCAGUGGGGAAGAUGAUGACUGUACCCACAGAAGAAGCCCUGGCUAACUCCGUGCCAGCCGCCGCUGUAAUAC
rnacentral:rRNA from 1 species